CUAGAACAAUGAGGGGCUUAAACUGAGUAUGAACUGAACCUGCUCCAACCUGGACCAGGAUGUGGAAAAUGAGCACUAAAAAUGUUGGGACUGAUGCAAAGACGGGGCAGUGGCCAGAGCAGAAAAAGUCACCAGCUACCCCAGCCUCACCCUGCCUUGGCCGGAGAACAUGCCGAAGCUGUGGGAAAGUACUUAGUAAGGCUGUGACCAACAUUUUUCUUUCCUGAUUUUCCCUCGAUUCAUCAUAAAUGUUGAGUCAUUCUCCUCGAUUCUGCCUGAACCAGAAAUCUUUCUCCUUGGCCCUCCUUCCCUCCACAGCUCUCCGAGUUAUCCAAACAACAAUCCAAAUAAAGUCAUCAAAGGAAAAGGAAGAA